rnacentral:rRNA from 1 species
GUGCACCAGUCGCGAAACCUCCGCAAUGCACGCAAGUGCGACGGGGGGACCCCAAGUGCCACUCUUAACGGGGUGGCUUUUCAGGAGUGUAAAAAGCUCCUGGAAUAAGGGCCGGGCAAGACCGGUGCCAGCCGCCGCGGUAACACCGGCAGCUCGAGUGGUAGCCGCGUUUAUUGGGCCUAAAGCGUCCGUAGCCGGUCCGAUAAGUCUCUGGUGAAAGCCCACAGCUCAACUGUGGGAAUCGCUGGAGAUACUAUCGGACUUGAGGCCGGGAGAGGCUGGAGGUACUCCCAGGGUAGGGGUGAAAUCCUAUAAUCCUGGGAGGACCACCUGUGGCGAAGGCGUCCAGCUGGAGCGGACCUGACGGUGAGGGACGAAAGCCAGGGGCGCGAACCGGAUUAGAUACCCCUGUAGUCC